GACGAACGCUGGCGGCGUGCUUAACACAUGCAAGUCGAACGGAAAGGCCCUGCUUUUGUGUGCUGCUCGAGCGACGAACGGAUUAGUACCACGUUAGUCUCCUGCUCUCGAUUUUGUGAUUUCAUCAGGCAACUGGGGAUACCACCUGAUAGGUCCUCCUGCUUGAUGGUGGGUGUUGGGUAGCUUCGGCGGUUGGGGAUGGACUCGCGGCUUAUCAGCUUGUUGGUGGGGUAGUGGCUUACCAAGGCUUUGACGGGUAGCCGGCCUGAGAGGGUGACCGGCCACAUUGGGACUGAGAUACGGCCCAGACUCCUACGGGAGGCAGCAGUGGGGAAUAUUGCACAAUGGGCGGAAGCCUGAUGCAGCAACGCCGCGUGCGGGAUGACGGCCUUCGGGUUGUAAACCGCUUUCGCCUGUGACGAAGCGUGAGUGACGGUAAUGGGUAAAGAAGCACCGGCUAACUACGUG
rnacentral:rRNA from 1 species